GGCUCGUGUGACGCCAAUAAAUACUGUGUUCUGAGAAGACCUCGGUGUGACAGUUUCCUCCUUCCUUCCCCAUUACCCCAGCUGUGAACGCUAGAGGAGGCCUUUUUAAGGUUCGCUGCAGCAUGCUCUCGCCUUCUUACCUGCCGCAGGCGUGAGGCUACACCAGUGUCACGGUGUUGGAGGCGGGUGAUGACCUAACAGUUUAUAGUAACGUUUAUAUAAGUGUGGCGCUGCUGCGCAUGUUAGACAUCCUUUGUCUUUUGAGUUGCUUCGUGACCCUUGGGUAGUCCGACCCCGGUGUCACUGGCUGCCCCGACGGUUUGCGGUUGAGUGAUGUGAAUGAAGUCAGAGAAUUCAUCACUGCUUCUACGCUCCGUCAGCGGUACACAUCCUUGUUCCUGUUCCCAUCAUGCUCUAUGACCGGCUAUGGAUAGCCACAAGAGUUCUGGUGCUGCUGCUGAUGCAGGUUGUGUGGCUGUGCUCAGAAUGGUCGACUGUUGCAGCCGUACGUGCAAGGUUGAAUACUACACCUACAAUAAAGGAUCUGGCAUAUAGCAGGCCUUUCCACUCCCUUGGGACGAUACAAAGACAGUGAUACCAGGAUGAACGUCAGUAUGUAUACUGUCACAAGAUUUUACCAUUUUCUGCUCAAGUAAGUUGUGUACUGGUCUGUAAGUUGGCCUCAUUAUUCUCUAAAUUAUCUAUAACCAGUGAGAUAUGGUAAAUAAGGGGAAAAGGCAAUAGAAAACUGGAAAAACUCACCCUUUAAAAAAAAAGGCAGGGGAAGAUCUACUAGCAUAUGGUGAUUAAUUUUAGUUGUACUAGGUGUAUGUGUAUGGUGUAGUCAUGCAUGACUACACCAUACACGGUGUCAUUGUCUUUGUAGUCAUGCAUGACUACAUGACAUGACCAGAGUGACACAUUUGUACUACAUACAAAGCUAAUUCGAUUGGGCUGUGUUGUGAGUAUAGGCUAAGCAGUGAAGGGUGACAGCAUUGGGAGGAAUGUUAGCUGCUAUGUGCUUAGUUGUUAAUGCCACUGCUUUGUCUUGUAUAUACCAUUGUAGGAUUGCUACGUAUGUACUGGCUCCCAUGUACCACUGUUUUAGCAUCUAUGUACCAAACAAGGCUUGGCUAUUAUGUAGUAACUAGCAAGUAUGGAGAUAGAAUAAUGUGAUUAUUCUCAACAAUCAAAUAAGAAACCUUUUCCUCAAUCUUUAUUUGUAAAACAUCUAAGGUUUUAUUAAACAAAAUUCACAUGAAAUACAAAUUCAGAUGCUUUAUGUGUAUCAAAAAGUAUAUUACUAGUGCUUUAAUGAUAAAUCCUAUAAAAUACUUGUAGCUAUAAGAAAAAACUGUCAAAAAAAUGUAAUGCAAUGUCAAUAAAAUGACACUAUAAC